ACAUUUAUCUGGCAGUGGAUUUACCAUUAUCAUGAAGAUGGUUUUCCUAGGGUGAGGCUUAUCUACUUCAUUCAGGAUGUGCUGACCUCUUGGAUUGCCUCAAACGUAGGAAACUCAGCUGAAUAAUUUGUGGUAGUAGGGGACUGUAUUCACACUCUCCCCUG
ensembl:snRNA U1 U1 spliceosomal RNA